UUAAAUCUAUGCGCUUAACGUAUAGGCCGCCGAAAAUACUGGACAGCUAGGGAGUGGGAGAGGUACACGGUACUCAAUAGGAAGGGGUAAAAUCCUUUGAUCUAUUGAUGACCACCUGUGGCGAAGGCGGUGUACCAGAACACGUUCGACGGUGAGGGAUGAAAGCUGGGGGAGCAAACCGGAUUAGAUACCCGGGUAGUCCCAGCUGUAAACGAUGCAGACUCGGUGAUGCAUUGGCUUGUGGCCAAUGCAGUGCCGCAGGGAAGCCGUUAAGUCUGCCGCCUGGGAAGUACGUACGCAAGUAUGAAACCUUAAAGGAAUUGGCGGGGGAGCACCACAAGGGGUGAAGCCUGCGGUUCAAUUGGAGUCAACGCCAGAAACCUUACCCGGGGCGACAGCAGAAUGAAGGUCAAGCUGAAGACUUUACCAGACAAGCUGAGAGGUGGUGCAUGGCCGUCGCCAGCUCGUGCCGUGAGAUGUCCUGUUAAGUCAGGUAACGAGCGAGACCCCUGCGUCUAGUUGCUACCAUUACUCUCUGGAGUAGUGGAGCGAAUUAGACGGACCGCCACAGUUAAUGUGGAGGAAGGAAGGGGCCACGGCAGGUCAGUAUGCCCCGAAACCCUGGGGCCACACGCGGGCUGCAAUGGUAUUGACAAUGUGUUCCGAAUCCGAAAGGAGGAGGCAAUCAUCAAACGAUACCUCAGUUAUGACUGAGGGCUGUAACUCGCCC
rnacentral:rRNA from 1 species